UUAUGGCCACAGCACGUUGAAACCUCGAUUCCGUACGAUAACCGAAGCUAAGUAACGUCGAGUCUGGACAAUACCAAGAUGGGUGACCGCUUGGGAAUACCAGGUGAUGUAAU